UUUGAAUUGCAAAAAACAGGUUCAAAGGGUCUGUCUCGAAUAUUGCCGAGGAUGAUUCCAGCGCCACAGCAAGCUUCAUCGCCUCAAGCAUCGCCUUUGCUUCCUCAGCCAAAGGAGAAAAGCAGAAAACUCUUUUUGCCGCCCUAUCUAUCAAUAGUCCAACAUUAAUCAUUCCUGUCACUGCAAAUUCCAUAUAUAACUUCUUACCUGAAUCACCAUUUUAUUUUA
rnacentral:misc_RNA from 1 species